UACCGGACUAGAGGACGGUAGAGGAAGGUGGAAUUCCCGGUGUAGUGGUGAAAUGCGUAGAUAUCGGGAGGAACACCAGUGGCGAAGGCGGCCUUCUGGGCCGUUCCUGACGCUCAGACGCGAAAGCUAGGGUAGCAAACGGGAUUAGAGACCCCGGUAGUCCUAGCCGUAAACGAUGCAAACUUGGCGUCGGUGGGUUAAUAUCCAGCGGUGCCGAAGCUAACGCGAUAAGUUUGCCGCCUGGGGACUACGGCCGCAAGGUUAAAACUCAAAGGAAUUGACGGGUCCCCGCACAAGCAGCGGAGCGUGUGGUUUAAUUCGAUGUUACACGAAGAACCUUACCCGGGUUUGACAUGUGGGUGGUAGGGAUCCGAAAGGUGACCGACCCGCAAGGGAGCCCUCACAGGUGCUGCAUGGCUGUCGUCAGCUCGUGUCGUGAGAUGUUCGGUUAAGUCCGAUAACGAGCGCAACCCUCGCCGUAUGUUACAAGUGUCAUACGGGACCGCCGGUAUCAAGCCGGAGGAAGGUGGGGAUGACGUCAAGUCGGCAUGGCCUUUAUAUCCGGGGCUACACACACGCUACAAUGGCCGGUACAAUGGGUUGCUAAGCCGCGAGGUAGAGCCAAUCCCCAAAGCCAGUCUCAGUUCAGAUUGCAGGCUGCAACCCGCCUGCAUGAAGUCGGAGUUGCUAGUAACCGCGCGUCAGCUAUAGUGCGGUGAAUACGUUCUCGGGGAUUGUACACACCGCCCGU
rnacentral:rRNA from 1 species